GACGAACGCUGGCGGCGUGCUUAACACAUGCAAGUCGAACGGUAAGGCCCUUCGGGGUACACGAGUGGCGAACGGGUGAGUAACACGUGGGUGAUCUGCCCUGCACUUCGGGAUAAGCCUGGGAAACUGGGUCUAAUACCGGAUAGGACCACUGCCUGCAUGGGCGGUGGUGGAAAGCUUUUGCGGUGUGGGAUGGGCCCGCGGCCUAUCAGCUUGUUGGUGGGGUGAUGGCCUACCAAGGCGACGACGGGUAGCCGGCCUGAGAGAGUGACCGGCCACACUGGGACUGAGACACUGCCCAGACACCUACGGGUGGCUGCAGUCGAGAAUAUUCCCCAAUGGGCGAAAGCCUGAGGGAGCGACGCCGCGUGUAGGAUGAAGGGCUUCGGCUCGUAAACUACUUUUACCAGGGAAGAAUAUUGACGGUACCUGGAGAAUAAGAGGUUGCUAACUCUGUGCCAGCAGCCGCCGUAA
rnacentral:rRNA from 1 species